AUGAACUUUAUUAUUUUCUCUGUAAAAUUCAUGAACAUUUCUUUUUCUGAAAAUUUUCUAUUUUCAUUUUCAGAACUUUUUUGUUUACUUUUCUAUUUUCUAAACAAAAGAUUUUCGUUGGAAAAAUAAUUUGGAUAAAAAAACUAUUUAUGAAAUCUGCCCAAAAAGAAAAUCUGGACAAAACUAUUAAAACAGAAAAGAAAACUGCAGCAGCAACCGGCCCGACUCGGCCUGGGCCGCCCUCGCCUGCGGCCUCAGCCCAGCUCGCGCGUGGGCUGUGCCCGCAGUUGUGCCCGCGCGGCCGCUCUCCCACUUUCGGCCCAUCGGCCCAGCGCGCCCCCUUAGAGCGCUAGGGUUUCAAUCCUGGCCGCCCGCGCAGAUCCGACGGCCAGGCGCGCGUUUCGCUUGAACAAAACGAGAGUCGAUCCCUAGCGACCGAAAACCUAGCGCCAUUCCUCCCCAGCCCCCGUGCCCCUCUCGCGCACUCCGCUGACGGCGGAGAGACGGGCUUCGCCCCGGCCGCCGGCGACGACGGCGGAUGCCACCGCGCCGCGCGGGCCUCUCCUUCCCAUCCUUUCUUCCCUCAUCACCCUCUUCUUCGUGUGAUAGAGAGAGAGAGAGCGACGCGGCGGGGCCUCUUCUGCUCCCCUGUAGCCGGGUUGGGGCUCCGCCGGCAACGGCGUGCAGCCACCGCAACGCGCGAGAGCCACCUUCCCUUUUCCCCUUCCGUUCCAUGAGGGAGAGGAAGACAGAGAGGCUACACCUUUUUUCUUUUCAGCGAGAGGAAGAGCGCGGCCAGAUCGCGCCGUGGCUAUCCUCCUCGUCGGUCGCGCGUCCUCCCUCGCGGUGAGCGCGCCGCCGCCGAGGGAUUUGGCCGCGGUGCUAACCUCCUUCUUUUUUUUGUGUGUGUCUUUUUCCUUUCUUUUCCGCGAGCAAUUGCUAGCUCCGGUGGUUCUUCGUCCCCGCACCUCGGCUUGCCGAUGCGUGUGGGGAUCGAGAGGAACAGGCGCGGCCGUGCGGCGGCGCUCUUUGCCGGUGAGGCCCAAGGCCAAAAUCCGGUGGUUUACUUUGCCCUGUCUAGGGUUCUUGGGGGAGGGGAUCUCUUUUUCUUUUUCUGUUUUUGUUUCUUUGUACCGAAAUCAUCUAGCCAGUGGCAUCUGAUACCAUUGAUAGAUCUCUUUGGAUCGUGUAGACUAGAUCUUUCCGGUAACCUACCUUCUCCUGGUGCGGACGAACUCGAUCCAGCACCGGCCAUGGUGAUGGCGGAGUGUGGGCGAGGUGGUGGCGGCGGAGCUUCCCGUCGGCCUAGCGCAAAACCCUAGAUCGGAUUGGUGUUUCGGUGGUGUUGUGGUGCACGGUCAACCUCGUCAUACGUGCCCCCGCACCCCACCUCUUUAUAUUGCGCUGGCGGCAGGGGCCCACCAACCAUGGAUUGGUUGGGCGCCCCCGAUCAGGGCGCGAGUCAGGGGCCCGUUCAACCCGUUGGGUUCGAACGGGAUAGAGAUCAACCUAACAAUGGUGAGUUUGUUCUUCUCAGCAAAGGAAUGCUGCUCUCGUAUCAUUCGGCUUGCUUCAAGUCGUGUCCUUCAAGUCGUGCCUUGUUUCUAGCAGGAGGCCCCAUAUGCCCGCUGUGCCAGAGACAUCUGGCAAGGCUGAAACCAGUCAUUUUUCCUUGUCCACACAGUCAUAAUAAUCCUGGAAGAUUUGUUGGCUUUAUGAGGCGAUGAGAAAACGUGGGAGGUGAUCAUCACCCCUGCUUUUCAAUCAUAUGGACCGAUGCUUGCUUGCUUCCUAUACAUAACUCUGGUAAGGACAUUUUUACUCCUGCUGUACCAUAUCUGAUAAGACACAGUGUGUGCUGAUUGGCCCUGAUCUUUCACUACACAUGCACUACUAACAGCAUUAUUUGGGGGGUUUUGGUGGAGAAGCGGGUGAACCAGGAGAAGUUGAUUAAUCCAGCAACCAGAAAUUAUGUAGAAGAUAUAAUUUGGUGGAAGCAAAGUAGAUGCAAGAGGGGAAGCAGAAAAUAAGAUCGGGAUUCAGUCCUUGCUAGAUGCAAGAACAGAAUUAAAGUCACGUCUAAUCUAUAAAUAUCAAUCAAACGAAAUGGCAAAGUUCAAAUCCAACCUCGGGCACGCAGAAGCACAGAUUUGGUGCAUCAACAAGGCGUUCGUUCAAUCUUAUAAGCUUCAUCAUAUUUUGCAUUUAACUUUGGGUUAUUGUCAUUCAUCAAGACAUGAUAGUCUACUUCCCUAUUUCUGGUGUGAUGAUCAAAAUAUCACUAUGGAAUAAAUGAGACUUUGGGGUCAAGCUACUGAUAUUAAGGUUUUCUAGUGUUUGUUCGUUUGCUUUCCAAAAGUCAUGAAGAAGUUCAGCUUUAGGGAUUAUCUUAUGGAAAACAGUGAACUGUCAGUGUUUUGCUACUGAUAAGGUUUGCAGUUUUUAAAUCAAGUCUACAUUCUACUGAUACCUAUCAGGUCUACUUGCAACAGAUAAGGAUCUUCGCAGGAAUAGCACUGCACCCCUGGAGACAAUUCAGAUAAUAGGGAGCAGUAGCAGUCUGAAGAACUCAUGAAGACUUGAUGGCAAUCUGGAAAGUUCAGUUUUGAUGUUUAAAAGGUCAUCAUGUUCAGACUUGAUAGUGUUUAGCCUAAAAAAAAGACUUGAUAGUGUUCUGCCACCGACAAGGUAUGCAUUUCUACUGAUACCAGUGCAGGGCGUGUGCAAUUCUGAAAUUUCGUAACUCCAUCAAGUCAUCAAGAUGCAUGAUUACAACUCCAGGACAAUGUCUUUUAAGACUUCAGAAGAUCUCUUCUUUCCAAGGACUAAAUGUCACCAACAGACUGGCAGAGCUGCAUGUCAGACAUGCGCUGUUGGUGUCUACUCUGAGUCUAACCAAAUUCGGCACUGAGAAGGUAAGAAGAAGAUUAUGGCAAGCAAGGACUGCUAUCUGCACACCUACUUGAGGACUCCAGCAAUUGGUGUACACAAAACAGUGCAGAACGUUUGUUCAUGCGAGAAUCGGCUGCCAAGAAGGGUGAUGAAUUAAAUUGGAACAAGUCUGCAGAGUAACCGAAGCCAUGCUAAGGAAGAAGAAGAAGCAGAAACACUACCUAGUCCAGAAGAAGCGUAGCCUGCAGCUUGGUACUCCCUCCGUCCGAAAAUACUUGUCAUCAAAAUGAAUAGAAAGGGAUGUAUCUAAACCUAAAAUACAUCUAGAUACAUCCCCUUUUGUUCAUUUUGAUGACAAGUAUUUCCGGACGGAGGGAGUAUAUCUGAAGCCUGUCAGCCUUGUGAUGUGAAUAAUUAAUAAAGUGGCUGCAUGCAUCGCCCAGAUGCAGAGGCCAGAGGUCUUCCUCCAAGGACCAGCAUGGCAGUAUUGCCAAGUUCAGUGAUCACAUACGGUGUGAUGUAUGGCAGGGAAGCUUUGUCUAUGCGGAAAUGUGGAUGAGACGCUGCGGUGGCUCUGGUUUGCUCUGUUUUUUUUUUGGGAGUAGUAUCUGCUCUGCUCUACUCUGGUGGGACACCUAUCUGGAGAUCCACAAGCUUUACGAGCGCACGAGAUGGCAAAAUCUACACAGCUCAAACAAAUAAUGGUGUGGUUGCUACCUGCUAUGGAGUACCAUUUGUUUGAUACAGCGGCCCGCCUGUGUGCGCCUUUAGCGUAUUAGAAAAAGAAGAUAUCGAUGUACUUAUGAAAAAUGGUUUGAUUAGGAUGGUUUACCUAUUUUUCAAUGUCGUGAACAAUAUUUUCGAAUUUGGUGAUUUUUUUGGAAUUUCAAA